AGCAGCCGCGGUAAUUCCAGCUCCAAUAGCGUAUAUUAAAGUUGUUGCAGUUAAAAAGCUCGUAGUUGAAUUUCGGGAUCAAUACGUCGGUCGUGCUUCGGUACGUACUGGCGUAAUUGAUUUCUCCCUUCUGACGAACCAUGAUGUCAUUAACUUGGUGUCAUGGGAAAUCAGGACUGUUACUUUAGAAAAAUUAGAGUGUUUAAAGCAGGCUAACGCUUGAAUACAUUAGCAUGGAAUAAUGAAAUAGGACGUUCGAUCCUAUUUUGUUGGUUUCUAGGAUUGACGUAAUGAUUAAUAGGGAUAGUUGGGGGCAUUAGUAUUCAAUUGUCAGAGGUGAAAUUCUUGGAUUUAUUGAAGACUAACUACUGCGAAAGCAUUUGCCAAGGAUGUUUUCAUUAAUCAAGAACGAAAGUUAGGGGAUCGAAGACGAUCAGAUACCGUCGUAGU
rnacentral:rRNA from 1 species